UGAUAGGCCUGACCAUGCUUUUGUUUGGAAGA
rnacentral:piRNA from 1 species